GAUCCUGGCUCAGGACGAACGCUGGCGGCGUGCCUAAUACAUGCAAGUAGAACGCUGAAGGAGGAGCUUGCUUCUCUGGAUGAGUUGCGAACGGGUGAGUAACGCGUAGGUAACCUGCCUGGUAGCGGGUGAUAACUAUUGGAAACGAUAGCUAAUACCGCAUAAGAGUAGAUGUUGCAUGACAUUUGCUUAAAAGGUGCAAUUGCAUCACUACCAGAUGGACCUACGUUG
rnacentral:rRNA from 1 species